UUUAACUACUAACAUUGACUUAGUUUGGGAAUUUUCGGAGUUGGAAUUCGGUAAAAAACUGAAAUCCAUCUCUGAGAAUCGUCCAAUACGUAAAAAUUCCACAAGGGAAUGAUCACGUAACAGCCAAGAAUCAUUUUGUGUAAUUUUAACGCGAAAAUUUGAGUAAAAUCUCAAAAUUUUGAAAAAUAACGCUAUUCAAAGCGUUACGCGUUACGUUACGGGCAAAAACGUGAGCCACCGCAUCCGCAUGUACUCAGACGGAAUAACACCGGCGAAAAUGUGCUCUUAUCACCAUUUCAUCACUUCGAAGGAAAGUUUGAUUAAUUUAGAAGUUGUUCUCAGCAAAGUUGUACUUUUGAGUAAUUAAAGGCUACGUUGAAAUUAACUAACGUGUUAAUACACUCUUUAGCGAUUUCUACAGUGCCAGCUGUAUUGAAACGAAAAAAUGGAAGCGGAAAUGAACAACGGUGACCAUAACAACCACGAGCACACUAUCGCCAACCAACGAAUCCGUCAAACCUGCAAAAUUACAAAAAGACAUGGCGAAAUAUAUCGGAAAUGCUACGUGCAAAAUGGUAACGGUCCAGAAACGAUGAAAUGGAUCAAGUUAGAGUUCCUGCAAUGGUGGGACGAGCUGACUGAAAAUACGGAUCAUUACGAAGUAUGUUUUGCCAUUAAGGCGUUAUUAAUUGCACAAAUGAACAUAGAUACUAAUCUAUCACGCUAUUUGUUUGUUAAAUCAAGGAGUAAUUAGUUAAUACGAUAACGACGGCGUAGAAACUCCAGCGAAUCGACGUAUUUGCGGGUGAAUCAGCGCACCAGAUUGCGACGAAUGAAACACAUACAAGAUGUGAUCAUUGUCGUGAUAAUUUUAGUCAUAUCAUAUUAAUUUGCAUUUUCGUACUUGUCUUUCAUACCUUAAAUAUAGAUGUAUUAUAUACUG